rnacentral:rRNA from 1 species
CCUACGGGGGGCUGCAGUGGGGAAUAUUGGGCAAUGGGCGCAAGCCUGACCCAGCAACGCCGCGUGAAGGAAGAAGGCUUUCGGGUUGUAAACUUCUUUUCUCAGGGACGAAGCAAGUGACGGUACCUGAGGAAUAAGCCACGGCUAACUACGUGCCAGCAGCCGCGGUAAUACGUAGGUGGCAAGCGUUAUCCGGAUUUACUGGGUGUAAAGGGCGUGUAGGCGGGACUGCAAGUCAGAUGUGAAAACCACGGGCUCAACCUGUGGCCUGCAUUUGAAACUGUAGUUCUUGAGUACUGGAGAGGCAGACGGAAUUCCUAGUGUAGGGGUGAAAUGCGAAGAUAUUAGGAGGAACACCAGGGGGGAGGGCGGUCUGCUGGACAGCAACGGACGCGGGGGCGCGAAAGCGUGGGGAGCAAACAGGAUUAGAUACCCGAGUAGUC